ensembl:snoRNA
GGCAGUGGAACCACUGAGCUAAAUCCCCGGCCCAAUAAAUUCUCUUUUGCAACCCAGAACUCAUUGUUCAGUAUGAGUCUGAUACACAUAAGAAGGAAUAUU